ACUCCUGCGGGAGGCAGCAGUGGGGAAUUUUGGACAAUGGGGGCAACCCUGAUCCAGCAAUGCCGCGUGAGUGAAGAAGGCCUUCGGGUUGUAAAGCUCUUUUGUCAGGGAAGAAACGGUGGUGGCGAAUAACUACUACUAAUGACGGUACCUGAAGAAUAAGCACCGGCUAACUACGUGCCAGCAGCCGCGGUAAUACGUAGGGUGCAAGCGUUAAUCGGAAUUACUGGGCGUAAAGCGUGCGCAGGCGGUUGUGUAAGUCAGAUGUGAAAUCCCCGGGCUCAACCUGGGAAUUGCAUUUGAGACUGCACGGCUAGAGUGUGUCAGAGGGGGGUAGAAUUCCACGUGUAGCAGUGAAAUGCGUAGAUAUGUGGAGGAAUACCGAUGGCGAAGGCAGCCCCCUGGGAUAACACUGACGCUCAUGCACGAAAGCGUGGGGAGCAAACAGGAUUAGAAACCCGUGUAGUCCCAUG
rnacentral:rRNA from 1 species